rnacentral:rRNA from 1 species
GAUCCUGGCUCAGAUUGAACGCUGGCGGCAUGCCUUACACAUGCAAGUCGAACGGCAGCGACGGGAGCAAUCCGUGGUGGCGAGUGGCGAACGGGUGAGUAAUAUAGUCGGAACGUGCCCAGUAGGUGGGGACUAACCCGGCGAAAGUCGGACUAAUACCGCAUACGACCUACGGGUGAAAGCGGGGGAUCGCAAGACCUCGCGCUAUCGGAGCGGCCGAUAUCAGAUUAGCUUGUUGGUGGGGUAAAAGCCUACCAAGGCGACGAUCUGUAGCUGGUCUGAGAGGACGACCAGCCACACUGGGACUGAGACACGGCCCAGACUCCUACGGGAGGCAGCAGUGGGGAAUUUUGGACAAUGGGCGCAAGCCUGAUCCAGCCAUGCCGCGUGCGGGAAGAAGGCCUUCGGGUUGUAAACCGCUUUUGUCAGGGAAGAAACGGUUUGAGCUAAUACCUCGAACUAAUGACGGUACCUGAAGAAUAAGCACCGGCUAACUACGUG